CACGCCNUAAACGAUGUCGAUUAGCUGUUGGGCAGCAUGACUGCUUAGUAGCGAAGCUAACGCGUGAAAUCGACCGCCUGGGGAGUACGGUCGCAAGAUUAAAACUCAAAGGAAUUGACGGGGACCCGCACAAGCGGUGGAUGAUGUGGAUUAAUUCGAUGCAACGCGAAGANCCUUACCUGGUCUUGACAUGUACGGAACCCUCCAGAGACGGAGGGGUGCCUUCGGGAGCCGUAACACAGGUGCUGCAUGGCUGUCGUCAGCUCGUGUCGUGAGAUGUUGGGUUAAGUCCCGCAACGAGCGCAACCCUUGUCAUUAGUUGCCAUCAUUAAGUUGGGCACUCUAAUGAGACUGCCGGUGACAAGCCGGAGGAAGGUGGGGAUGACGUCAAGUCCUCAUGGCCCUUAUGACCAGGGCUUCACACGUCGUACAAUGGUCGGUACAGAGGGUAGCCAAGCCGCGAGGUGGAGCCAAUCUCACAAAACCGAUCGUAGUCCGGAUUGCACUCUGCGACUCGAGUGCAUGAAGUCGGAAUCGCUAGUAAUCGCAGGUCAGCAUACUGCGGUGAAUACGUUCCCGGGUCUUGUNC
rnacentral:rRNA from 1 species